rnacentral:rRNA from 1 species
CUCCUACGGGAGGCAGCAGUGGGGAAUAUUGCACAAUGGGCGCAAGCCUGAUGCAGCGACGCCGCGUGAGGGAUGACGGCCUUCGGGUUGUAAACCUCUUUCAGCAGGGAAGAAGCGAAAGUGACGGUACCUGCAGAAGAAGCGCCGGCUAACUACGUGCCAGCAGCCGCGGUAAUACGUAGGGCGCGAGCGUUGUCCGGAAUUAUUGGGCGUAAAGAGCUCGUAGGCGGCUUGUCACGUCGGUUGUGAAAGCCCGGGGCUUAACCCCGGGUCUGCAGUCGAUACGGGCAGGCUAGAGUUCGGUAGGGGAGAUCGGAAUUCCUGGUGUAGCGGUGAAAUGCGCAGAUAUCAGGAGGAACACCGGUGGCGAAGGCGGAUCUCUGGGCCGAUACUGACGCUGAGGAGCGAAAGCGUGGGGAGCGAACAGGAUUAGAUACCCUGGUAGUCCACGCCGUAAACGGUGGGCACUAGGUGUGGGCAACAUUCCACGUUGUCCGUGCCGCAACUAACGCAUUAAGUGCCCCGCCUGGGGAGUACGG